rnacentral:lncRNA from 1 species
AGUAGAUGUUUAUACAUUGUCCAAAAGUUGAUGCUAUUGUUCAGCAACUGUUACAGCAGCAGUCAGAAGUGAAGCUGAGUAUGGAGUUCAUUCAAAAAAGCAGCUUGACUCCAUCCAGUUUUGUACAAAGUGCUUCACAUAGUCAGGAGUAGGUAAGGUAGUUGGAAUUUUGCACAAAACGAAGCUUGCUUCCUUUGUUCACUGCUAAAGUUCAAAAGUAUAGUUGCAGUUAUAUGUGUAGCAUCAGUUAUGGAAUGGAGUGCUUUAUUUUCACCAAAACCUAUAGAAAAAGAGGAGAAAAAAGCCGAUUAGCAGUAAAAUAUAAUUAUAUUAUAGUUUUCAUACUAUCUCCAUCUAUCCUUACUAAACGUUAAUAACUAUAAAUAAAUAUUAUAGUUAUUUAUUCUGGUUGUCAAUGUUAUGAGUCUAAUAUGCUUGCAUCAAUUUUUCUUAUUUAUUUACACUUCUUUGAACGAAAAGUCAACAUGAGUUAAGGAUAACACAUAAAUAACUACAGAACAGAAUCCAUCUAAAAUACAAACCUGAAUAUCUAGGAAAAUAAACUGUAAAUACAAAAUACAAACUUGAAAAGGGAGGAAAAAUAGUGAAACAACAGAACAGUAGAUGGAAGAACAGCAGUAGAAGAUGACAAUCAACAAAUUUACACAUAAAACCUGCAAAAAAUACAAACAUAAAAAAACUAAAAAAAUCAAAAUCAAAAUCAAAAUGAUUGACCAUAUAUAAUCUUUCAAGGUCACCCAACCACUGUAUUCAAUGACAGCACCAACCAGUCAACAGCUAAGGACACAGCUAAUAAACGAAUUUUAAACCCAGAUUUGAAAAAGAACACUAACAACACAGAAAUAAUUAAAGGACAGUUAAGUGCCUAAUUAAUGAUUAAAAUAGAAUGCCAGUAAAUCAAGGAAAAGCAAAGAACCACUAAGAACAUCGAAUAUAAGGAAAAAAAAAAUAAUGAACUUCACAACUUUAAGAUCACAAUUUGUUACAUACAGAUUGAAACUGUAAAGAAUAGUUUAAUUUAUGAAGAAUACUAAAUAUUAUUAUUAAGAGAUGAUAAAGAGCUAAUAGGAAAACAACAAAUAAACCUGGAAAC